CACAAGCGAACUUAGCACUGGCUACACCCUCCUCAAUUCUGGUUGGCGAGAUGCGCUCUUCCAGGAAGUGACGCACAAGUGCCGGCGGAAGGGGAAGUCCAGGAGCAUGGGUGGCUUUUCCCCCUACCGAGGUCCGUGAGGUGUGUACUGUGCUAACCAAGGGGCGGCUCACAACCGUAAUAGACUGCCAUUCCUGAGUCUCUUCUGGCCAUGGGCCCCCGGAGCCGCGAGCGUCGGGCAGGCGCGGUACAGAGCACCAACGACAGCAGCGCCCUCAGCAAGCGUUCCCUGGCCGCGCGCGGCUCCCUCAAUGUGACAGAGGAGGAAAGACUAAGAAUCACUGAAUGACUUACAGAUCAUCAAACAUCUAGCCUACUCAAUUCUUUAUGUCUUGCAAAUGAUACUAUCAUGAAUUAAGGUAUUGCUCAAAGAAGAGGAAUUGGAACCUGUUUUGAGCACCUGCUGGAUUAAUAACUGCUUCUUCCGGGCAAGAUUGCCUACAUGCAGAGUAGCC